rnacentral:rRNA from 1 species
AGAGUUUGAUCCUGGCUCAGGACGAACGCUGGCGGCGUGCCUAAUACAUGCAAGUCGAGCGGACAGAUGGGAGCUUGCUCCCUGAUGUUAGCGGCGGACGGGUGAGUAACACGUGGGCAACCUGCCUGUAAGACUGGGAUAACUCCGGGAAACCGGGGCUAAUACCGGAUGCUUGUUUGAACCGCAUGGUUCAAACAUAAAAGGUGGCUUCGGCUACCACUUACAGAUGGACCCGCGGCGCAUUAGCUAGUUGGUGAGGUAAUGGCUCACCAAGGCAACGAUGUGUAGCCGACCUGAGAGGGUGAUCGGCCACACUGGGACUGAGACACGGCCCAGACUCCUACGGGAGGCAGCAGUAGGGAAUCUUCCGCAAUGGACGAAAGUCUGACGGAGCAACGCCGCGUGAGUGAUGAAGGUUUUCGGAUCGUAAAGCUCUGUUGUUAGGGAAGAACAAGUGCCGUUCAAAUAGGGCGGCACCUUGACGGUACCUAACCAGAAAGCCACGGCUAACUACGUGCCAGCAGCCGCGGUAAUACGUAGGUGGCAAGCGUUGUCCGGAAUUAUUGGGCGUAAAGGGCUCGCAGGCGGUUUCUUAAGUCUGAUGUGAAAGCCCCCGGCUCAACCGGGGAGGGUCAUUUGAAAACUGGGGAACUUGAGUGCAGAAGAGGAGAGUGGAAUUCCACGUGUAGCGGUGAAAUGCGUAGAGAUGUGGAGGAACACCAGUGGCGAAGGCGACUCUCUGGUCUGUAACUGACGCUGAGGAGCGAAAGCGUGGGGAGCGAACAGGAUUAGAUACCCUGGUAGUCCACGCCGUAAACGAUGAGUGCUAAGUGUUAGGGGGUUACCGCCCCUUAGUGCUGCAGCUAACGCAUUAAGCACUCCGCCUGGGGAGUACGGUCGCAAGACUGAAACUCAAAGGAAUUGACGGGGGCCCGCACAAGCGGUGGAGCAUGUGGUUUAAUUCGAAGCAACGCGAAGAACCUUACCAGGUCUUGACAUCCUCUGACACCCCUAGAGAUAGGGCUUCCCCUUCGGGGGCAGAGUGACAGGUGGUGCAUGGUUGUCGUCAGCUCGUGUCGUGAGAUGUUGGGUUAAGUCCCGCAACGAGCGCAACCCUUGAUCUUAGUUGCCAGCAUUCAGUUGGGCACUCUAAGGUGACUGCCGGUGAAAAACCGGAGGAAGGUGGGGAUGACGUCAAAUCAUCAUGCCCCUUAUGACCUGGGCUACACACGUGCUACAAUGGACAGAACAAAGGGCAGCGAGACCGCGAGGUUAAGCCAAUCCCACAAAUCUGUUCUCAGUUCGGAUCGCAGUCUGCAACUCGACUGCGUGAAGCUGGAAUCGCUAGUAAUCGCGGAUCAGCAUGCCGCGGUGAAUACGUUCCCGGGCCUUGUACACACCGCCCGUCACACCACGAGAGUUUGUAACACCCGAAGUCGGUGAGGUAACCUUUAUGGAGCCAGCCGCCGAAGGUGGGACAGAUGAUUGGGGUGAAGUCGUCACCUUUACCGUAUCGGAAGGUGCGGCUGGAUCACCUCCUU